UACGUAGGGUGCAAGCGUUGUCCGGAAUUAUUGGGCGUAAAGAGCUUGUAGGCGGUUUGCCGCGUCUGCUGUGAAAUUUCGGGGCUCAACCCCGAACUUGCAGUGGGUACGGGCAGACUAGAGUGUGGUAGGGGAGACUGGAAUUCCUGGUGUAGCGGUGAAAUGCGCAGAUAUCAGGAGGAACACCGAUGGCGAAGGCAGGUCUCUGGGCAUUAACUGACGCUGAGGAGCGAAAGCGUGGGGAGCGAACAGG
rnacentral:rRNA from 1 species